rnacentral:rRNA from 1 species
AUUGAACGCUGGCGGCAUGCCUUACACAUGCCAGUCGAACGGCAGCACGGGUGCUUGCACCUGGUGGCGAGUGGCGAACGGGUGAGUAAUACAUCGGAACAUGUCCUGUAGUGGGGGAUAGCCCGGCGAAAGCCGGAUUAAUACCGCAUACGAUCUACGGAUGAAAGCGGGGGACCUUCGGGCCUCGCGCUAUAGGGUUGGCCGAUGGCUGAUUAGCUAGUUGGUGGGGUAAAGGCCAACCAAGGCGACGAUCAGUAGCUGGUCUGAGAGGACGACCAGCCACACUGGGACUGAGACACGGCCCAGACUCCUACGGGAGGCAGCAGUGGGGAAUUUUGGACAAUGGGCGAAAGCCUGAUCCAGCAAUGCCGCGUGUGUGAAGAAGGCCUUCGGGUUGUAAAGCACUUUUGUCCGGAAAGAAAUCCUUGGCCCUAAUACGGUCGGGGGAUGACGGUACCGGAAGAAUAAGCACCGGCUAACUACGUG